CAAAAUUUGAUUUAAGCAAAAAAGAACCUAAUGAUUCUGUAGAACUCAAAACCAUGACGUUCAACACAAAGACUCAAUCAUUUGUCAUUACUCUGAUAACAAGAAGAAAACAAAUAUAGAAUAAAUAACAAUUACCUUUUCAAGAAUUUUAAAAAUGCUGCAUAAUAUCAUAGAGGAAAAAAUCCUAAAUGUAACAUUGAAAAGGAAAAAACUGUUUCACAUGGUUCAUUCUUUUUCUCCUCUAGUUAUGCUGGACAUCCCUCCAUUUACACCUAAUGGAUGUGAUGAACUCCAGACCAUUCCGCCUUCCUGUGGCAUUCAGGAUAAACAACACAAAUCCAACGCCUGCUUCAAGAAUAGCUAGUCACAUACUUUAGGUUGUUCCCUAAUAAUUUUCAUCAUACAUGUGCUAAAUCCAAUAAAAUGGAUCAUAUUAAAAUAUAGAAACAAAGUUCAUAUUUUGAAAGCAUGAUGUAAUCUGAUUCUGAGGUGAGUUUCACUUUAUUUAGUAACAUUACCUGCAAUAAUUGUAUGACAUGGUAUUUUUUUACUUGUAUAUGUAAUUGUGCAAAGAUGUAUGCGAUAACUUUAUGCAUCUAAGUCCAAAGAAACAUAAGCCCCUAUAUUUUGUAUAUUUAUAUUUUGUCUCUUGAUCCCAGGCACUGCUCAAGCUCCAUUGCAGUAAAUAUUAAGAGGAUCACAGGGUGCACAUUUACUACAUGGCCAAGUUCUGUCAAAUUUACAAUAUCAAGUGAUAGAGGCUGAGAUUGCCCCUUCAACCUCCAAGAAAGAAGGCCUCAGCCAAAUCUUUAUUAAACGACCCAUUCACAAUACUAUUCUGUCAUUAGGAAGGGGCAAAGAAAGAAAAAGGGACAAAAAGGGAAACAAAUUCAGGCAGGGUACAUACCAGACUAACAUUCAGGUUAUACACACUUUUGACAUCCUCUCCACUGAUUUCAUAGUUGAUUGAUUGCCAAAGAGUCCGUCCUCUUGUUGAAAUAGUAUCAAGCAUUGACAGAACCAAUGCCAUCCUGAAGACUGCUUGGUUAACUCCUCAUUCCCGGCAUUAAUUGCUCACAACAACUUAUCUCAACCCCUUGGUAUUCCAAACUACAUAAGACCCCAUUUUACUGAAUUCACAAGGACAAAAAGCAGUUAUGGUCUUGGCCAUCAAAGCUAUAGCAGCAAUGCUUGGAAACUGCUCCUUCUGGAAGUUGUGUACUGCUGCCUUUGAACUCUGAGGUUCACAAAUCACCACAGCUUCAGGCUUCUUUUUGGAAGAAGAGGCUGGUUUAUGACACCACCUUUGGAUCCAAGCAUGCGAAAGUGUUAUGUCUUGACUUUUCCUCACUGAGUCGGUGGACGAGGAUUCAGCAUUCCUCAGUAAUUCUGCAGUCUGAUCCGUCACCAUCCGUUCUUUACAAUAAGACUUGUCCAUCUUUGGUUCUGAACUAGUUUUGCAAGAGCUAGGUAUUUUGCCGAAGAACCUGUUAACUUUUUCAUGGGAAGUGGCUUCCCCCAUUUUUGAGCUCUUAGUGCCAUAAGCAAAAGACUCUGAAGCACUUGGUUUGAGACGUUUAACCCAUCGGGUACACGGAUCCAAUCCUGAUGGACCCUCCGCACAAGCGUUAGAUUUUGCAUUUGUGGGAUGUUCAGCAUGGGAAAGGAAGUGUUCCACAUCUAAACUCUGGGUUCUCGAGGUGCUUCUCUCUGCAUCAUCUGCUGAAUUUGCCACACCUGAGAUUACAGGAAUUUCCUGGUUAAUAUCAGGUAACUCUACGUUAGGCAGUCUGCCUUUACUCCCUUCUUUGUCUGAAGCUAUUGCGGUAUGAGAUAUUGGUGACUUUUGGGCCCCCUCAAUGUCCUUAUUUGAGAGGGAUGAAGCCACACCUACAAUAAGAACAAAAAAAGGGACUUAAUAACAAACCAAUACAAGCACUAAAUUAAGCAAAAUACUAGACCUUAACAAGACUAUCUAUAUUUGUUAUCAUAAUUUUCUAUCUUGGGUUCCAAAACAUGGAAACACAUCUAUGUCCACGUGACAGAAGACACCAACACCUAUGUCCUCGACAUGUGAUGUGAGAUACAGUAAACACGUACCAAAGAGAUGGUUCCCCGGGAAAGUAUCCAUGUCCAUGGUCUGAGUUUCAGCUGAUGAUUCAUUCUUUAAAUCAACUGCAGAAGUGUGGACAUUUUCAAUGUUUUCUUUUCCUUCACUAUCUGUGGAGCUGUCCAGAGUUUGCAGUUUCACUCCUUGCUUAACAUUCAAACCAUAAUCCGGAGAUAAGCUGAGGAACUCACUCGUUGGUUUUCCUUCAAUUUUGGUGGAUAUCAUGGAUUCUCUGAAUGUUUGACCUCCAUCAGAUAAGUUUACAUCAGUCUUUUUAGUGAACAAGAAGUGGUGAGUAGUUUGUGCAAAUUUUGAAGGACCUGUGAAGAACUCUUUUACAGAGUCAAUAGUGGUACAUAUUUUCAUAGUCUUCACAUCAUGAACAGAAGAGGGAAUUCUUGGUGGUUCAUAAGAUCCAUGAAAUAAUGUUGCCUCUGGGGGCCUGAUCUGGUUAGGGAAUAAUUUACCAUCAGAAUUAUUUAGCAUCUUCUGGAACUGUUCACCAUCAAAGUCUCUUAGGCAAUUAUCAUUUGUUGAGGGAUUAUGCAUUAAUGGAGCUGCAUUGCUAUUCAUUUCCUUCUCAUCAACAAAAAAGGUACCACUUGGUUGAUCAAUGUAUUCUUGCCUGUGGAAAAAGAACUCAGUUGGAGUCCUUCCACUGUUAAAUUCAGAUGGCAUAACUCUAGAAGUUGACCCCAUAAAUUCAUCCUUAAGAGGUGCUGAAAAAGCUAUUCCAUUAUUUUCAAGCAAUUUAUUGGAUUUGACCUGCUGCUCUGGAUUUGAUGUUGUGCCCCCAGACUCAGAAUGAGAUCCUGUUGAUUGAGUGUCUAUUUUGGAAGGAGUCGACUCAAGCAUUGAGGGUAAACAUGUAUCAGUUACACCUAGAGAAAAAUCACAUCCAGAGGUAGGACCAAUUUGUGACCUUAUGACUCCAUGAUGGCUAGAAGAAUCAACAUUCUUCAGAGAUAAAAUGCCCCCUCUAUUUUGAGAAGAUUUGAACAUUGGAAAAUGCUGGCCUUUGAAUGUUUCAUGUUUCAAUUUAGAGCUCUCAUUCAUAAAGGAAUUAUUAUGCAUUUUUCUAAAUUCUUUCACAAAUUUAGAGCUGUCUGCAUCCAUCUCUGGACCACCAGGUAAAGGAUGAUGCUUAGCUCUGCAACUAUCUUCCCCAGAUUCAUAACGAUGUGAUAAUUGAUUAUGGAUAUCAUUCACUGACCUGUAACUUGUGUGGGUCCAGUGAGACAUCCAAAUAGAUUUGUGGGGCUGCAAGCACUUUUCAGGAAUUUUGUCCUUGUCAUUUUCUGAUUUUACAACCCGAUCAGACAUGAUAAGGAGGAACUGCUGAAUUAUGCGUCAAAAGUAUUACUAUCCCUCAAGCGCUCAUCAAAAGUGUUACUUUCCCUCAAGCGCUCACCAAAAGUCACGAGUUUUACAAAGAAACGCAUCGAAGGGACGACGAAACAGGCUCAGAAGUGGCAGAUCCAGACAGAGAGUAAAAGGAGGAUAAGGAAAGAAAGAGGAGGCGUGUCGGCUUCUUGGUUUCUUUUUUAAGUUGGGAAUUCUGAAAUUUGUGGGAAUUUGUGGAAACGACAAGGAGGUGUGAAGAAAGCAGAGAGACAGGUUGUGAAGAAGAAGAAGAAGAAGAA
rnacentral:misc_RNA from 1 species